rnacentral:rRNA from 1 species
UACGAAGGGGGCUAGCGUUGCUCGGAAUUACUGGGCGUAAAGCGCACGUAGGCGGCUUUCUAAGUCGGGGGUGAAAUCCUGGAGCUCAACUCCAGAACUGCCUUCGAUACUGGAAAGCUCGAGUCCGGGAGAGGUGAGUGGAACUGCGAGUGUAGAGGUGAAAUUCGUAGAUAUCUGGAGGAACACCGGUGGCGAAGGCGACAUCCUGGACCGGCAUUGACGCUGAGGCGCGAAAGCCAGGGGAGCAAACGGGG